UGGACACAUGGGACCCGAGCAUCCU
rnacentral:piRNA from 1 species